rnacentral:rRNA from 1 species
CCCAGAUGGGAUUAGCUAGUAGGUGGGGUCCGGCUCACCUAGGCGACGAUCCCUAGCUGGUCUGAGAGGAUGACCAGCCACACUGGAACUGAGACACGGUCCAGACUCCUACGGGAGGCAGCAGUGGGGAAUAUUGCACAAUGGGCGCAAGCCUGAUGCAGCCAUGCCGCGUGUAUGAAGAAGGCCUUCGGGUUGUAAAGUACUUUCAGCGGGGAGGAAGGUGUUGUGGUUAAUAACCGCAGCAAUUGACGUUACCCGCAGAAGAAGCACCGGCUAACUCCGUGCCAGCAGCCGCGGUAAUACGGAGGGUGCAAGCGUUAAUCGGAAUUACUGGGCGUAAAGCGCACGCAGGCGGUCUGUCAAGUCGGAUGUGAAAUCCCCGGGCUCAACCUGGGAACUGCAUUCGAAACUGGCAGGCUAGAGUCUUGUAGAGGGGGGUAGAAUUCCCAGGUGUAGCGGUGAAAAUGCGUAGAGAUCUGGAGGAAUACCGGUGGCGAAGGCGGCCCCUCUGGACAAAGACUGACGCUCAGGUGCGAAAGCGUGGGGGAGCAAACAGGAUUAGAUACCCCUGGUAGUCCACGCCGCAAACGAUGUCGACUUGGAGGUGGUGCCCCUUGAGGCGUUGGCUUCCGGAGCUAACGCGUU